AAGGGUAGAUGCCUAUAAAAAAAAAACAAACAAAACCAACUGCGAUUCUGUUAGGAAACAGAAAGGAAAGGAGACAGCUCAUAGGUUGUAAUCAAUAGUGUUUGCAAUGUUAAGCCUAGAGGAGCAAGAAAGCCCUCACUAAAUGCAGACUUGAUUUGGCCUUCCCAACCUUCAUAACUGUGGCAAAGAAGUUUCUGUUCUUUAUAAAUUACCCAGUCUCAGGUAUUCUCUUAUAGCACCACAAAACUAAGAUAGGCUCUGAUUGCUUUGUAGAUAAAUGUCGCUCAACACUUUUGUUUAUUCUAUUGUGUGACUUUUGCUCAUCUCCUUUGUCCUUCUGCAUUAGUGGUCAGUUGAAUACAUCAAGCCCAAUAUCAAUGAAGGAGUUUAUAUGUAGGGUGUACAUAUGAAUCAAAUUAAUGAAAAAAAUACUUUGAUCAGACAUGAGUGCACUUUCAGACAAAAAAAAAAAAAAAGCUCCAUUUUGAUGUGUCUGUUACUCUGAGACAGCCUACUGUACCCAGCUGUCUGAUACUUGAGCCAUGCUCUAUCCUGGCCCUGUGCCCUUUGCCCGGGAUGAUUCCUCUUGUCUAGGAAGUCCUCACUUUGUAGUAAACAUUGAGAAGUGACACUUCUGGCCUCCAUUCUGUUCUUUGUCUAAUAAUCUAGUUGAGAUUGGAAACCUCACAGCAACACUUCCAAAACCCCCUUGUAGCUAGGGUGUGGAUCUGAAACUCCCUCUGUCAACCAGGUGCCCUCUGGUGAGAUUUGGAGGCAGAUGAAAAGAGAGGCCAUGCUUUGGCUGCUGUUGUUGCAGCAAGUGGGGUCAGAGAGGUCAUGUUAAAAGGCAGCUAAUGUUUCUGGGCUUGGGGUCCCUCUGAGGGGCUAGUUGCCAGCUCUGUGGGUGUGGAAGGCAGCGGGUGGCAACAGCACUGUCCUGAUUGUGGGAUCACAGCUACUGUGGUGCCCUUGAACUCAGCACUCCAGGGGAAGUCCCUGACUUCUACCCACCCCUUCCCCGCCCCAGCCCUUUUUCAAUUGUAUAAGCCCCAGCUUAGUUCUCAGGAAUAAAUCUUUCUCUGCUUGAAAUACCUAAAGUGGUUUCGUAAACCCGACUCAUAUUCAGCCUUCCAGACAAGUCUGGGUUUUUCUUGAGCCACGAGGUUAGGCUAAGUGCCUCCUCGAAGCCCCCAAUGCCCCACUUUGCUGUCCAUGCCUUCUCUGUGCUCCCAGCACCAGUGCUUGGCUCCCAGCAGGUGCAUAGUCAAUGCUUAGUGAACUGAAGCUUCCUCUGUCAAGAACCAGGAGGCUCUGAAAUCUAGUCUGAGGGGCAUCCCACCUUAUGUUUGAUCUGAAAAGUCCAAAGAAAAAUUGCAUCUGGAUUUAUUUUGGAUACCAGAUGAAUCCAGAGCUGUCAGCUUUUCCACAUGUUAACCACCCUAGACAGCAGAAUUGAAGAAUCCACCUAGUCCCCAGGAAACAGAUGCUAAAGAACAAGGGAAACUGCUUAUCUCAAGAUGUACCAUCUGCUGGGUCCCAUACUUGAUGAAUGUGUGCUGCCAGGCCUACAGCAAGACCUGCAAUUGACAAGAGCUUUGGACUCAGGGAGACCCGAGUUGGAAGGUAAUGCAACCUUUGGCAAGUUAUUCAGCCAAAUUGUCUGAACCACAAUUUCUUCAUCUACAAAGUGGAGAUAAUAAAAUCAAUCACACAGGACUCUUGGAGGUCAGAGACUGUAUAUGUAAAAUGCUUAACACAGGGUACACGCACAAGAAGCACUUCAUAUUCCUCAACAACUGUCGCCAUAGUGAUCCUCUUGGUUAAUACAUUCUGCCAUAAUUAUGUUGCUUUACCUAAUUUCCCUUUGGCCUAAGUACAUUCAGAUGUAAUCAGCCUCAAACACACUUCUCUACUUCUUUCUCCUGAGGUAUUCCAUUUUACAUGCUGAUGUGAUUAAUCCUUUUUUUGUAGAAGACCCAGCUAAGUCCACUUUGGGUACUGUACCCAGGAGGCACCAAAACCACUUUUUCAGUGGUUCUCAAGUCUAGAUGACAAUUAGAAUCACUGGAGAGUUAAAACAAAACAGCAACAAAAACAAAGAAACCUAAAAAGGUCUAGACCCCUCAACCAGAAAUUCUGAUUUAACAAGGUUCUUAAAGCUCCCCGGGUGAUUGUAAUGUGCUGCUGAGACCUCUUGAUCAAUGUGAGAAAGAUUAGUACUUCUGUUACCUUGGGGAGAAAAGGAAAGCUGUUGCUUCUACUUUUCUAUAAUCUCCAUCAUGGUGUGGGAGGGGAGAAGACUAAAGAUUAUAGUUGAAAUAUUCCACUUAUAAUGUGAAAAAGACAGUCUCAUUAUCAACCUGAAAGAUGGCUGGUGGUGCUAAUCCUGGCUAAUAGAAGGGCAAGAGGGGCGAACAGAGACACAGUAGGACAUGGAAGGAGCUCAUCUGGAAAUACCUGUGAAGGAGUCAGGUUAGAAUGUGGUGUCUAGCCUGUGCCAGCUUGUGUGCACCUGUGGCUGCUGAUGUCAGGUACACGCACUUUGAGCCGGAGCAAAUGAAAUAAAUGAUCUCAGCUUUGGCAUUACAUUUAGUAAAAGCUAAGUGCCAAAGAUAGCUGGCGAUGGCCGGGAGUAUGCUCAGAAAUAAACUACAUCUGAAAAAUAUAACUAUUCCUUUCUGUUGUGAAAGUAAUAUACAAGAGAAAAUUGGGAAAACAGAAAACAAUGAACUCUCUACGUAUAAACUAAUAAUAGUAGUCAAGAUUUAUAUAGACUUAUGAGGUGCUAGACAUAGUUCUAAGCCCUUUAUCAAAUAAAUUCAUUUACUUCUGACUUCAGUUCAAAGAGGUAGAUAAUUAUUUCUAACUCCAUUUUACAGAUAGGAAGGAGGGCCAGGAGCUGUUAAGUGACUUGACCAAGGGUGCACAGCUGGUAAGGGCAAAGCCAAAACUGAACUCAUGCUGUACUUAACAGAGUAUGGGCAACCUUAGAGAUAUAGUUCAUACGGUAAAUACUCAAGGAUACAAUGCCAGUUGUAGAGUCAAAAAAGUAAAUGUUGUCUGUCAUUCACUCAUUCAUUUAUAUCAUAUUUAGUGAAAGUAUCUAUAUUUAGCAUACCAUUAACCCACUCAAUUAUCAAGAUUAUAAAUAGUAAUCACAGGAUACCUGUUCAUUCAUACAGCAUUCAGAAUAAUAGAUAUAUAAGCAACAUAAACGAAUAAGAUUAAAAAUGCUAUAACUAUUUUCUGAUGACAAAAUCCAAAAUCAAUAUUUCAAAACUUAUGGAAUGUCAUACACUUAUGAAACUGAAUAUUUGGCAUUAUACUAUAGACUUUUGACAAUUAAUAAACAUACCUUGAACAAUAAUUUCAUGAGUUUGGCUUGAUAGAAAUAAGUUUAACAUAACAGUAGUAUAUUCAACUCAGAAAUUUCAUGUUUGUUGAGUGACUUUUUGGAUAAAUAGUUGGAAGAAUAGAUGAGUAAACUGAUAGAUAAGGAUGCUUGGCAAUGCUCUAAGUGCUUAACAAUUGCAAUGGUAUGGGCCGGGGACAUAGUUCAGCAGCAGAGCAUUUGUCUACCGUGUGCCAGGCCCUGGGUUCCAUCCCAGCACCACCAUACAACACACACUCAAAAAAUUAAAUAAAUUUCAUCUUUUAAAAAAAGCAGUGUUUUCUAGUUUGUUAAAUACUAAAGAUCUAGGAGAAAAUUGUGUGUUCUUUAAUUUUAAAUUAAUAAAAAUUCUAUAUAUUAAUGAUGUACAACAUAAUGUUUUGAUAUGUUUGUAUGCACUGUGGAAUGGCUAAAUCAAGCAAUUUAGCAUAUGCAUUGCCUCACAUAGUUACCCCCCCCCCACCCUGGGGUAAGAACACUUAAAAUUCUUUUAGCAAUUUUCAAUUGCAACAUAUUAACUGUAGUCAUCAAGGUGUAUACAAAUUUUGAUUUCUACCCUUUCCAUGUACUAAAUAAAUACCUUUAAGGAAGUCA